UGAGAGUGAGGACAUCACUUCUAUUCCCAUUACAUUAAACUCCAUGGUGCCUUCCUCCUCUUCCUCUUGCCGUUGCAACUGUUUUUCGGACAACGAGGAAGAAGCUGCGAUUGGUGAAUGAGGAGAGGAGUUGGAGACUUGGAGCACAACGACGAUGACCAGACGAGGACGGAAGCUGCUGUAAGCUAGGGUUUCUUUUUGGGGAAGAGAGCUUCGCUUGAGAGAGUGAGAG